CAAAACCAUAGUGAAAGACGGAAUACAAGUAAGCAUUUGGUGGCUAUUGUCGUUGACAACGACUCCAUCACUCACCCUAACAAACCCUAAUCUUUUUUCUUCUAAUCACUAUUCGAUUUCACAUUAGCUGUUUUGAUCACUGUAGCUUUGAUUUGAGCAAAAAUUUCUACCAUUCAUGAUGUUUGUUGUUUUGGAUUGACUGAAAAUCAAACCCUACCGUCUUCGAUUCAGGAAAAGAUUCAAUUUUGUUUGCCCUAAUUUUGAAAUCCCAUGACGGCCGAUGCAUCUACUGCUACCAUUACCCAUUCCGGCGAAGACGGCGGCGGUGGUCUUAAUAGCCCUUCCGGCCCUAGAACUUUACCUUCUGCCUGGGCGCAAGUUGUACGCGGAGGAAGCGAGCCGGAUUCGGUAUCUUCGUCUCCUUCGCCGGGGGUUGCUGAAAGUAAUCCUGUUUUAUCUGAUCCGGUAACGGUGGUGGAGGCCGUGACUACGGCGGCGGAGACUCAACAGGAGGGGUCUGAUGGUAGUAAUAAUUGCAAUGCUGGUGGUGUAAAGAAGUCGGCUUGGAACAAGCCCUCGGCAAAUGGUGUUGUGGAUGGGACUACUACACCUGUGAUGGGUGCUGCUUCUUGGCCCGCUCUAUCUGAGUCGACUCGUCCCGGAGUGAAAUCGUUAUCUUCUUCUUCAGAGUCUUCUUCUAAGCCGAUCUCCGAUGGAUCAGUCGCCGUUUCUCAGGCACCUGCAGUUUUACAACCACCCCAAAAACAUGUUAGAACUAAUGCAAACUCUCAUUCUAAUCCAAACCAUAUGAAUCCUGUUCGACAGCGGCAUAUGAGACGUGGUGGAAGUGCUGGUGGUGCGUCCACAGGCUACAGUAGGCCGCCCCCUCCACCACCAUUGCCGCCGCCGUUCCCUUUAUUUGACAUGUCUUAUGGUAAUUUAGUACCAGCAGUUUUAGACUCCCCUGUGAGAGAACCUCCCCAUUUUAAGAGCAAUAGCUGGUCACCAAGAAAUCCCACCUUGAGGAAUAAUUAUGGUCCUCGGCCACGUAGUGAUGGAGGAUCCUAUGUUAACAAUGGUUAUGGUGGCAAUCGUGAUCAUAACCAUGAUCGAGAUUGGCGCAGCCCUCGAAAUCCUGCUGCUAGAGAUGUGCAUCAAAUGGUUCCUCCACCUCCCCCACCGAUUAGGGGAUUCAUUCGACCACCUCAUCCGGGUCCUGCCCCAUUUAUUCCUCCUCAGCCUUUAAGACCAUAUGGAACCCCUAUGGGUUAUGAAAUGGGUGCAUCAUAUAUAUAUGUUCCUACACUACCUCCGGAGCCAUAUAGGGGUGCACCUCUUCUUCCUCAUGCACCUUCGUCCUCCAUGUUUGUCCCUCUUAUGGAUCCUCCUUUGCAUGUUUUGAUACUUAACCAGAUUGAUUAUUAUUUCAGUGAUGCUAAUUUGGUCAAAGAUAACUUUUUGAGGUCACAGAUGGAUGAGGAAGGCUGGGUACCUAUUGCGUUAAUAGCUGGUUUUCGUCGAGUUCAAAGUUUGACAAAUGACAUCCAAAUGAUUUUGAAUUCCUUGAGAGAUUCGGCUACUGUUGAAAUUCAGGGUGAGAAGGUAAGGAGGCGUAGUGAAUGGAGAAGAUGGAUACAAUCUUCCAACAGCUUGCAAGCGGACACAGAAGCUCCACAUGAAGCAAGUGUUGAAGAAGCUUCAGUACAGAAGCUGAGUUUGGAUGACAAAGAAGUGGGAGCAUCAGAUCCACUGAAGCUAACCAAUGGGGAGGUGAGUUCUGAAGAUCUUUGUUCAUGAAGUCAAACCACGGUCAAGAUAUUUGACUGUGCCAAGAUUUUGCAGUAAAUAGCAUUUAACUAUAGUUUUGGUGUUGCGGUGAUUGACCAUUGCUGGAGUGGAGGGUAGUAGGAGCAGAGUUUUUGAGAGUCUUGCGGUUGACAGAAGAAGAUGAUUAACCAUUGUUUGAUGCUCUAAAUUUUUAUUCGCUUGGAUUUUAUUCUACCUUUAUCCCUCAUCCGGUAAAGGGUACCCACACAUUUAUCAUACAUUGAUUUGCUUGACUA